GUCAAGACCCAGGAAGUCACAGCUGCGGCUCGAGUGAACCGGGCUAGCGUGCGGGCCUGGGGUCCCAGGGUCUCGCGUGAGGCGCGGGAGCCUCCUGGUGACUCCUGGCUCUCUGCGCGGAGGGACUCGAGCGAGCGCCUGGAUGUGGGGGAGGGGCGCGGGGAGAGCGCGAGGCCUGGCCUGCCACCCGCCGCCUUCCCUUUCGGAGGCCGGGGGCGCGGGUCUCUCCUGGGCCUCCGAUCGCGGGCGAAGCGUGCCGGCUGGAAUAAUCCGAGGCCGGAGAAGGUGAGUGCUGGUUCUCCGGAAUCGUUAGAGGAUUCAGUGAGACGGCAAUCACCUGCAUAGCGCCCAGCACACACAUAAUAGCACAAGACUUGCCCCGAGCUGAAAAUAUGAUGAUUGGAUGGAUUGGAGGUGAACUAUGCAUCUUAGCCGCUGAAGGAGGGAAGGAGGUGCACCUGCGUUCAGGCAGGGGCGAACUGGCCAGUUAGUCAAGACAUAAGACAUUGUCAUUAGGCCCAGUUUUCUAAAGAAGCCUGGGAGGGCGCUGGGGAAGAGAAAGCGGGGGAGCAGCGAAGUCUCGGGCAGUUAGGGGGGCCUCCAGCAGCGGUGGGGCCGGGUGAGCACCACAGGCACACUGAGUCACAGCCCUGCAGUGUGUACCAGCCCCUCCCUGGACACGAAUUAGGAAGAAAACUUUGCAAUCCGGCCAGCCUCAGUCUAGAGGAAUUACAUUCAUUGAGGAAUGUCAUAUUCAGGCCAAUCUGAAAAGUGAUUUCUGGACUUCGGCAGAACAGGUUCUCCGUACCACUUGUCUCCUCGCAUGGAAGAUCGGCAGCUGACAAGUUCUUGGAGGACCGCGUUCACACUGGUAUAUACCUGCUUGAUGUCCUUAACAGUUCAGUACUUCUUUACUCAAAUUAGGAAGCUUUUCAAGUAGCUGCUGUCAGGUGUAUCAUGGGAGGUCAUCAGUAAAAGGUUAGUAAAAGAACUUUUAAAAGUUAUUCAUGAACAUAAUUCAAGAAAGUAAGUCAGCUGAACAAGAAACAA